GCCGGGGCCGGGGCCGCGGCCGCGGGGAGCCGCCCGGCGGGGCAGGGCAGGGCCGUUCCCGUGACAAAAUGGAGGCGCCCAAAGCGGCUACAGAACGAGCUCUCGGAAACGCUGUGAAAGCGGCAGGCCUCAAAGCGAAUCGGAAAGGAGUGAAUGUCCCUGUGCCUCGUCCUGCGGCGGGGGCGAAGGCAGCCGGGCCUGGGCGCCGCCGCCGCCGUCCCUCCGCCUCGGUGCCCGUUUGGCACCCGCCAAACGGCGCCAGAGACGAGCCGUGCUGUGCCGUGUCCCAAAACGCUUGAGUUUCUAUAUAUCACUUUUUUUAAGGGGAAAAAAAAAAAGUUUUAAUAUAACGUUCCGAGGCUCAGCAGUCGUAAUUGAUGGGUUUGGAGCUGUGUUCUCUGUCCUCUCUAAGUAUAUACCGCGGUGUUAAAUUGUUCGAUGGUCUCUGAGAAAGUAUCUGUUAUCAGGUGUAAGGUUAUUCAGUGCUUUUCAGACUGUAAACCAGCUCCCUAUAAAUGCCUCUUUUGUUUUUCUGGUUUCCCAUCGCUGCUGCUUGCAUUGUUCUCAUUAGAAAAAAAAGUACAUAAUGGUGCAUUGUAUAGGGAAAGAAAAAUAACCUAUUUGUUAAAGGCCUCUGAUAUAUUAGAUUUUCCCUUUCCCUUUGGAUUAGCUACACGGUUUGGCUAGAUAAAUUGAUGUAAACUAA